UACGAAGGGGACUAGCGUUGUUCGGAAUUACUGGGCGUAAAGCGCACGUAGGCGGAUUUGUAAGUCAGGGGUGAAAUCCCGGGGCUCAACCUCGGAACUGCCUUUGAUACUGCAAGUCUCGAGUCCGAUAGAGGUGGGUGGAAUUCCUAGUGUAGAGGUGAAAUUCGUAGAUAUUAGGAAGAACACCGGUGGCGAAGGCGGCCCACUGGAUCGGUACUGACGCUGAGGUGCGAAAGCGUGGGGAGCAAACAGG
rnacentral:rRNA from 1 species